rnacentral:rRNA from 1 species
UAUGUGAUCGUCUCUCGCAUAUCAAUAAGCGGAGGAAAAGAAACUAACAAGGAUUCCCUUAGUAACGGCGAGUGAAGCGGGAAGAGCUCAAAUUUGAAAUCUUAAAGGGUUUCCCUUUACGAAUUGUAGUUUAAAGAAGCUGUUUUCUGUUAGAGGUUUCGGUAAAAGUUCUUUGGAAUAGGACAUCAUAGAGGGUGAGAAUCCCGUAUUUGACCUUUACUUUCUAACUUUGUGAUACACUUUCAAAGAGUCGGAUUGUUUGGGAAUGCAGUCCAAAAUGGGUGGUAAAUUUCAUCUAAAGCUAAAUAUUGGCGAGAGACCGAUAGCGAACAAGUACCGUGAGGGAAAGAUGAAAAGAACUUUGAAAAGAGAGUUAAACAGUACGUGAAAUUGUCAAAAGGGAAGCGUUUGACACCAGUGUUGUUUUUCUGAAAAUCAAUUAAAGAACUGUUUAUGCUAAGCUGUUUAGACUUUAUCAGCUAUCUGUUUAGUUUUGAGCUUUUCUUUAAUGCACUUUUCAGUUAACAAGUCAACAUCAAUUUCUUUUGCUGUAAAAAAGCUUGAGGAAGGUGGCUUGAGAUUCGUCUUAAGUGUUUAUAGCCUCUUGCCUAUGCAGUCGGAGAGAUUGAGGUCUGCAGCGUAGAUCCUUCGGGGCUAAAUGCAUUUGUGCUAAGUUAUAGCAUUUUAUAGACAACUUGUUGACUAUGAUUUGUCUUGUAGCUUACUCGCUUAUGUUAUUUUACCUACGCUUAGGAUGUUGACACACGCGCGUGCUCG